AGAGUUUGAUCAUGGCUCAGAUUGAACGCUGGCGGUAUGCUUUACACAUGCAAGUCGAACGGCAGCAUAGGUGCUUGCACCUGAUGGCGAGUGGCGAACGGGUGAGUAAUGCAUCGGAACGUGCCCAGUCGUGGGGGAUAACGCAGCGAAAGCUGUGCUAAUACCGCAUACGAUCUAUGGAUGAAAGCGGGGGACCUUCGGGCCUCGCGCGAUUGGAGCGGCCGAUGUUAGAUUAGGUAGUUGGUGGGGUAAAGGCUCACCAAGCCGACGAUCUAUAGCUGGUCUGAGAGGACGACCAGCCACACUGGAACUGAGACACGGUCCAGACUCCUACGGGAGGCAGCAGUGGGGAAUUUUGGACAAUGGGCGAAAGCCUGAUCCAGCAAUACCGCGUGCAGGAAGAAGGCCUUCGGGUUGUAAACUGCUUUUGUACGGAACGAAACGGCGUGCUCUAAUAAAGUGCGCUAAUGACGGUACCGUAAGAAUAAGCACCGGCUAACUACGUGCCAGCAGCCGCGGUAAUACGUAGGGUGCAAGCGUUAAUCGGAAUUACUGGGCGUAAAGCGUGCGCAGGCGGUUUUGUAAGACAGGCGUGAAAUCCCCGGGCUCAACCUGGGAAUUGCGCUUGUGACUG
rnacentral:rRNA from 1 species